rnacentral:tRNA from 1 species
GGCAUGAUAGCUCAGUUGGUAGAGUACUGCACCGAUAUCGCAAAGGUCAUGGGUUCGAAUCCCGUUCUUGCCU